rnacentral:rRNA from 1 species
GGUUAAGUUAGAAAGGGCGCACGGUGAAUGCCUUGGCACUAGGAGCCGAAGAAGGACGCGACGAACGGCGAAACGCCUCGGGGAGCUGUAAGU